rnacentral:rRNA from 1 species
GAUGAACGCUGGCGGCGUGCCUAAUACAUGCAAGUCGAGCGAACAGACGAGGAGCUUGCUCCUCUGACGUUAGCGGCGGACGGGUGAGUAACACGUGGAUAACCUACCUAUAAGACUGGGAUAACUUCGGGAAACCGGAGCUAAUACCGGAUAAUAUAUUGAACCGCAUGGUUCAAUAGUGAAAGACGGUUUUGCUGUCACUUAUAGAUGGAUCCGCGCCGCAUUAGCUAGUUGGUAAGGUAACGGCUUACCAAGGCAACGAUGCGUAGCCGACCUGAGAGGGUGAUCGGCCACACUGGAACUGAGACACGGUCCAGACUCCUACGGGAGGCAGCAGUAGGGAAUCUUCCGCAAUGGGCGAAAGCCUGACGGAGCAACGCCGCGUGAGUGAUGAAGGUCUUCGGAUCGUAAUACUCUGUUAUUAGGGAAGAACAAAUGUGUAAGUAACUGUGCACGUCUUGACGGUACCUAAUCAGAAAGCCACGGCUAACUACGUG